rnacentral:rRNA from 1 species
GCCUUGGCUUGGGCGGUCCGCCGAUUGGCUGGUACUGCUCCGACCGGGGUUCUCCUUCUGGUGGGCUUGUAUGCUUCGGUGUGCAAGUGCGCCAGGACUUUUACUUUGAACAAAUUAGAGUGUUUAAAGCAGGCCUGCGCCUGAAUACAUUAGCAUGGAAUAAUAGAAUAGGACUUUGGUUCUAUUUUGUUGGUUUCUAGGACCGAAGUA